rnacentral:rRNA from 1 species
GAUGAACGCUGGCGGCGUGCCUAAUACAUGCAAGUCGAGCGAACAGAUGAGAAGCUUGCUUCUCUGAUGUUAGCGGCGGACGGGGGAGUAACACGUGGGUAACCUACCUAUAAGACUGGGAUAACUCCGGGAAACCGGGGCUAAUACCGGAUAAUAUUUUGAACCGCAUGGUUCAAUAGUGAAAGACGGUUUCGGCUGUCACUUAUAGAUGGACCCGCGCCGUAUUAGCUAGUUGGUAAGGUAACGGCUUAACAAGGCGACGAUACGUAGCCGACCUGAGAGGGUGAUCGGCCACACUGGAACUGAGACAAGGUCCAGACUCCGACGGGAGGCAGCAGGAGGGAAUCUUCCGCAAUGGGCGAAAGCCUGACGGAGCAACGCCGCGUGAGUGAUGAAGGUCUUCGGAUCGUAAGACUCUGUUGUUAGGGAAGGACAAAUUUGUUAGUAACUGAACAAGUCUUGACGGUACCUAACCAGAAAGCCACGGCUAACUACGUGCCAGCAGCCGCCGUAA